UCAUACUAGUGAGACUUAAAAUCCUAAAAUCCUAAUCUUAAAUAUUCCCAGUCAUUGGUACAUUGAGUCGGGGAUCAAUGAUUACCGAAAAGAUUGGCAUGUCUUAUAUAUGCUCGAUGCAGAGGAUGAUUGAUCUCACAAUCAUUUGUGUGGAGACACUAAUACAAAGAUAUGGGUGCUCGUUAGAAGAAUGAGUUCACUGAAUUGACCUACAAAGAGAAAUCUUAUGAAGUCUUACUUACAUGUCAAAAGAUGAUUCUCUUAGUGGGAGUUGUGCAACUGAUCCUUUGACCUGAGAUCACCAUGGUAUCUUGUGCACAUGAACCUAUGUUUUGGUUUACACUCAUUCAUGACAAUAAGUU
rnacentral:lncRNA from 1 species